rnacentral:rRNA from 1 species
AGUGAACGCUGGCGGUAGGCCUAACACAUGCAAGUCGAACGGCAGCACAGUAAGAGCUUGCUCUUACGGGUGGCGAGUGGCGGACGGGUGAGGAAUACAUCGGAAUCUACUUUUUCGUGGGGGAUAACGUAGGGAAACUUACGCUAAUACCGCAUACGACCUACGGGUGAAAGCAGGGGAGCUUCGGACCUUGCGCGAAUGAAUGAGCCGAUGUCGGAUUAGCUAGUUGGCGGGGUAAAGGCCCACCAAGGCGACGAUCCGUAGCUGGUCUGAGAGGAUGAUCAGCCACACUGGAACUGAGACACGGUCCAGACUCCUACGGGAGGCAGCAGUGGGGAAUAUUGGACAAUGGGCGCAAGCCUGAUCCAGCCAUACCGCGUGGGUGAAGAAGGCCUUCGGGUUGUAAAGCCCUUUUGUUGGGAAAGAAAAGCAGCACGUUAAUACCCCGCUGUUCUGACGGUACCCAAAGAAUAAGCACCGGCUAACUUCGU